GAUGAACGCUGGCGGCGUGCCUAAUACAUGCAAGUCGAGCGAACGGACGAGAAGCUUGCUUCUCUGAUGUUAGCGGCGGACGGGUGAGUAACACGUGGAUAACCUACCUAUAAGACUGGGAUAACUUCGGGAAACCGUAGCUAAUACCGGAUAAUAUUUUGAACCGCAUGGUUCAAAAGUGAAAGACGGUCUUGCUGUCACUUAUAGAUGGAUCCGCGCUGCAUUAGCUAGUUGGUAAGGUAACGGCUUACCAAGGCAACGAUGCAUAGCCGACCUGAGAGGGUGCUCGGCCACACUGGAACUGAGACACGGUCCAGACUCCUACGGGAGGCAGCAGUAGGGAAUCUUCCGCAAUGGGCGAAAGCCUGACGGAGCAACGCCGCGUGAGUGAUGAAGGUCUUCGGAUCGUAAAACACUGUUAUUAGGGAAGAACAUAUGUGUAAGUAACUGUGCACAUCUUGACGGUACCUAAUCAGAAAGCCACGGCUAACUACGUG
rnacentral:rRNA from 1 species